GAUGAACGCUGGCGGCGUGCCUAAUACAUGCAAGUCGAGCGAACGGACGAGAAGCUUGCUUUUCUGAUGUUAGCGGCGGACGGGUGAGUAACACGUGGAUAACCUACCUAUAAGACUGGGAUAACUUCGGGAAAUCGGAGCUAAUACCGGAUAAUAUUUUGAACCGCAUGGUUCAAAAGUGAAAGACGGUCUUGCUGUCACUUAUAGAUGGAUCCGCGCUGCAUUAGCUAGUUGGUAAGGUAACGGCUUACCAAGGCAACGAGGCAUAGCCGACCUGAUAGGGUGAUCGCCCACACUGGCACUGAGACACAGCCGAGACACCUAGGGGAGGCAGCAGUAGAGAAUCUUCCGCAAUGGAGGAGAGCCUAACGGAGCAACGCCGCGUGAGUGAUGAAGGUCUUCGGAUCGUAAAACUCUGUUAUUCGGGAAGAACAUAUGUGUAAGUAACUGUGCACAUCUUGACGGUACCUAAUCAAAAAGCCACGGCUAACUACGUG
rnacentral:rRNA from 1 species